GUGCUUAACACAUGCAAGUCGAACGCUGAAGCUUGGGUGCUUGCAUCUGGGUGGAUGAGUGGCGAACGGGUGAGUAAUACGUGAGUAACCUGCCCUUGACUCUGGGAUAAGCCUGGGAAACUGGGUCUAAUACUGGAUACUACACUCUCUCGCAUGGGGGUGUGUGGAAAGGGUUUUACUGGUUUUGGAUGGGCUCACGGCCUAUCAGCUUGUUGGUGGGGUAAUGGCCUACCAAGGCGACGACGGGUAGCCGGCCUGAGAGGGUGACCGGCCACACUGGGACUGAGACACGGCCCAGACUCCUACGGGAGGCAGCAGUGGGGAAUAUUGCACAAUGGGCGAAAGCCUGAUGCAGCGACGCCGCGUGAGGGAUGACGGCCUUCGGGUUGUAAACCUCUUUCAGCACGGAAGAAGCGAAAGUGACGGUACGUGCAGAAGAAGCGCCGGCUAACUACGUGCCAGCAGCCGCGGUAAUACGUAGGGCGCAAGCGUUGUCCGGAAUUAUUGGGCGUAAAGAGCUCGUAGGCGGUUUGUCGCGUCUGCUGUGAAAGCCCGGGGCUUAACCCCGUGGUGUGCAGUGGGUACGGGCAGACUAGAGUGCAGUAGGGGAGACUGGAAUUCCUGGUGUAGCGGUGAAAUGCGCAGAUAUCAGGAGGAACACCGAUGGCGAAGGCAGGUCUCUGGGCUGUUACUGACGCUGAGGAGCGAAAGCAUGGGGAGCGAACAGGAUUAGAUACCCUGGUAGUCCAUGCCGUAAACGUUGGGCACUAGGUGUGGGGGACAUUCCACGUUUUCCGCGCCGUAGCUAACGCAUUAAGUGCCCCGCCUGGGGAGUA
rnacentral:rRNA from 1 species